AGCCAGUAAGCAGCAUCCUCCACGGCUUCUGCAUCACUCCUGCUUCCGGGAUCCCGACCUGUUUGGAGUCCCUGUCCUGACUUACUGUAGCGAUGAACAGCAACGCUGAAGUGUUGAUACAUAGAAACACCGGUGACCUGGUGACAAAUGAACGGUGCAGCAUCACAAUGCUCAAAGGACUCUAUCUCUGUGCUUAAGUACAGAUACGAGAGAACAGCCAGAGACUCUGGAAGAGUCUAGAGCACGGAGAGAAAGAAGGAGACUGAACAUGGCCAGCAGACUGGACUUGGACACGAGGCAAGCAGGAG